rnacentral:pre_miRNA from 1 species
AGAGCUACCUCUGGGACUGGUUUCAAACUCUUCUAGUCAGCCCCUGGGGUAGUUCUGA